AGAGUUUGAUCCUGGCUCAGGACGAACGCUGGCGGCGUGCCUAAUGCAUGCAAGUAGAACGCUGAAGGGAGGAGCUUGCUCUUCUUGGAUGAGUUGCGAACGGGUGAGUAACGCGUAGGUAACCUGCCUUGUAGCGGGGGAUAACUAUUGGAGACGAUAGCUAAUACCGCAUAACAAUGGAUGACACAUGUCAUUUAUUUGAAAGGGGCAAUUGUUCCACUACAAGAUGGACCUGCGUUGUAUUAGCUAGUAGGUGAGGUAAUGGCUCACCUAGGCGACGAUACAUAGCCGACCUGAGAGGGUGAUCGGCCACACUGGGACUGAGACACGGCCCAGACUCCUACGGGAGGCAGCAGUAGGGAAUCUUCGGCAAUGGGGGCAACCCUGACCGAGCAACGCCGCGUGAGUGAAGAAGGUUUUCGGAUCGUAAAGCUCUGUUGUAAGUCAAGAACGGGUGUGAGAGUGGAAAGUUCACACUGUGACGGUAGCUUACCAGAAAGGGACGGCUAACUACGUGCCAGCAGCCGCGGUAAUACGUAGGUCCCGAGCGUUGUCCGGAUUUAUUGGGCGUAAAGCGAGCGCAGGCGGUUUGAUAAGUCUGAAGUUAAAGGCUGUGGCUCAACCAUAGUUCGCUUUGGAAACUGUCAAACUUGAGUGCAGAAGGGGAGAGUGGAAUUCCAUGUGUAGCGGUGAAAUGCGUAGAUAUAUGGAGGAACACCGGUGGCGAAAGCGGCUCUCUGGUCUGUAACUGACGCUGAGGCUCGAAAGCGUGGGGAGCGAACAGGAUUAGAUACCCUGGUAGUCCACGCCGUAAACGAUGAGUGCUAGGUGUUGGAUCCUUUCCGGGAUUCAGUGCCGCAGCUAACGCAUUAAGCACUCCGCCUGGGGAGUACGACCGCAAGGUUGAAACUCAAAGGAAUUGACGGGGGCCCGCACAAGCGGUGGAGCAUGUGGUUUAAUUCGAAGCAACGCGAAGAACCUUACCAGGUCUUGACAUCCCGAUGCUAUUUCUAGUGAUAGAAAGUUACUUCGGUACAUCGGUGACAGGUGGUGCAUGGUUGUCGUCAGCUCGUGUCGUGAGAUGUUGGGUUAAGUCCCGCAACGAGCGCAACCCCUAUUGUUAGUUGCCAUCAUUCAGUUGGGCACUCUAGCGGGACUGCCGGUAAUAAACCGGAGGAAGGUGGGGAUGACGUCAAAUCAUCAUGCCCCUUAUGACCUGGGCUACACACGUGCUACAAUGGUUGGUACAACGAGUUGCGAGUCGGUGACGGCGAGCUAAUCUCUUAAAGCCAAUCUCAGUUCGGAUUGUAGGCUGCAACUCGCCUACAUGAAGUCGGAAUCACUAGUAAUCGCGGAUCAGCACGCCGCGGUGAAUACGUUCCCGGGCCUUGUACACACCGCCCGUCACACCACGAGAGUUUGUAACACCCGAAGUCGGUGAGGUAACCUUUUGGAGCCAGCCGCCUAAGGUGGGACAGAUGAUUGGGGUGAAGUCGUAACAAGGUA
rnacentral:rRNA from 1 species